rnacentral:rRNA from 1 species
GAUGAACGCUGGCGGCGUGCCUAAUACAUGCAAGUCGAGCGAACAGACGAGGAGCUUGCUCCUCUGACGUUAGCGGCGGACGGGUGAGUAACACGUGGAUAACCUACCUAUAAGACUGGGAUAACUUCGGGAAACCGGAGCUAAUACCGGAUAAUAUAUUGAACCGCAUGGUUCAAUAGUGAAAGACGGUUUUGCUGUCACUUAUAGUUGGAUCCGCGCCGCAUUAGCUAGUUGGUAAGGUAACGGCUUACCAAGGCAACGAUGCGUAGCCGACCUGAGAGGGUGAUCGGCCACACUGGAACUGAGACACGGUCCAGACUCCUACGGGAGGCAGCAGUAGGGAAUCUUCCGCAAUGGGCGAAAGCCUGACGGAGCAACGCCGCGUGAGUGAUGAAGGUCUUCGGAUCGUAAAACUCUGUUAUUAGGGAAGAACAAAUGUGUAAGUAAUUAUGCACGUCUUGACGGUACCUAAUCAGAAAGCCACGGCUAACUACGUG